rnacentral:rRNA from 1 species
GACGUAGGAGGCGAGCGUUAUCCGGAUUUACUGGGCGUAAAGAGCGCGCAGGCGGUCGUUCAAGUCGCGUGUGAAAGCCCCCGGCUCAACUGGGGAGGGUCACGCGAUACUGAUCGACUCGAAGGCAGGAGAGGGUAGUGGAAUUCCCGGUGUAGUGGUGAAAUGCGUAGAUAUCGGGAGGAACACCAGUGGCGAAGGCGACUACCUGGCCUGUUCUUGACGCUGAGGCGCGAAAGCUAGGGGAGCAAACGGG